GUCAUAUUAUGCAGAUGGGUGCUCAUGGUGGCCUCCAAAUAAAUACAUGGACAGGCUGCUAAAGAGGGUCAGGAUGAUGGAGAUGCAAGAGCCAAAGACAGCACGGACCAAACACCAGGCCAGAAUUCUGCAUGAGUCAGUUUCCAGCCUUUUUCACAAAGUUGCCGACAACUGGAAGAAUGUCCCAAAUUGCUGAAAAAAGAAAUUCAGUAAGUCCUUAUAAAAGAGACAGUUUAAAAGAUUGAGUAAUUUUCACUCUAGAGACCCUGGGGUGACCAACAAGGACGAAUGAAAACUCCAGUGAGUGUCUCUAAGGUAGAUCCUAAUGCAGAUGGAUGGAAUGUUGAUCCGCCUAACAUGCAAGAUUUUCUGCACCGAGAACUUUGGAUGACCAUCAAGACAAGCACUCGUUUUGAGUCCUGAGACCCUGGGGUGACCACCGUGAA